CGCAAGCCUGACGGAGCAAGACCGCGUGGGGGAGGAAAGCCUUUGGGUUGUAAACCCCUUUUCUCAGGGAAGAAGAAAGUGACGGUACCUGAGGAAUCAGCCUCGGCUAACUCCGUGCCAGCAGCCGCGGUAAUACGGAGGAGGCAAGCGUUAUCCGGAAUGAUUGGGCGUAAAGCGUUCGUAGGUGGCAAUUCAAGUCUGCUGUCAAAGACAGUAGCUCAACUACUGCAAGGCAGUGGAAACUGAAUAGCUAGAGUGCGGUAGGGGCAGAGGGAAUUCCCGGUGUAGCGGUGAAAUGCGUAGAGAUCGGGAAGAACACCGGUGGCGAAAGCGCUCUGCUGGGCCGCAACUGACACUGAGGGACGAAAGCUAGGGGAGCGAAAGGGAUUAGAUACCCCUGUAGUC
rnacentral:rRNA from 1 species